rnacentral:rRNA from 1 species
UACAGAGGUCUCAAGCGUUGUUCGGAUUCAUUGGGCGUAAAGGGUGCGUAGGUGGCGGGGUAAGUCAGGUGUGAAAUCUCGGGGCUCAACCCCGAAACUGCACUUGAUACUGCCUUGCUCGAGUACUGGAGAGGAGAUUGGAAUUUACGGUGUAGCAGUGAAAUGCGUAGAUAUCGUAAGGAAGACCAGUGGCGAAGGCAGCUCGCUGGGACGUUACUGACGCUGAGACGCGAAAGCGUGGGGAGCAAACAGG